CCUACGGGUGGCAGCAGUGAGGAAUAUUGGUCAAUGGACGAGAGUCUGAACCAGCCAAGUAGCGUGAAGGAUGACUGCCCUAUGGGUUGUAAACUUCUUUUAUAAAGGAAUAAAACGAGGCACGUGUGCCUUUUUGCAUGUACUUUAUGAAUAAGGAUCGGCUAACUCCGUGCCAGCAGCCGCGGUAAUACGGAGGAUCCGAGCGUUAUCCGGGUUUGUUGGGUUUAAAGGGAGCGUAGAUGGGUUGUUAAGUCAGUUGUGAAAGUUUGCGGCUCAAACGUAAAAUUGCAAUUGAUACUGGCAGUGUUGAGUACAGUUGAGGUAGGCGGAAUGAGUGGUGUAGCGGUGAAAUGCGUAGAUAUCACGAAGAACUCCGAUUGCGAAGGCAGCAUACCGGCGCCCAACUGACGCUGAAGCACGAAAGCGUGGGUAUCGAACAGGAUUAGAUACCCGUGUAGUC
rnacentral:rRNA from 1 species